rnacentral:rRNA from 1 species
GACGAACGCUGGCGGCGUGCCUAAUACAUGCAAGUAGGACGCAGUUGCGAACGGGUGAGUAACGCGUAGGUAACUACCUAUUAGAGGGGGAUAACUAUUGGAAACGAUAGCUAAUACCGCAUACUAGUAGAUGGACCUGCGUUGUAUUAGCUAGUAGGUAGGGUAAUGGCCUACCUAGGCAACGAUACAUAGCCGACCUGGGGGGGGGAGCGGGCAACACUGGGAUGGGGCCAGGCCCCGACCCCUUCGGGAGGGAAGAGGAGGGGAACCUCGGGCAAUGGGGGAACCCUGACCGAGCAACGCCGCGUGAGUGAAGAAGGUUUUCGGAUCGUAAAGCUCUGUUGUUAAGGAAGCGGUACUUAACCAGAAAGGGACGGCUAACUACGUGCCAGCCGCCGCGGUAAUUC